CACGUGGGCGCAAGCGUUGUCCGGAAUUAUUGGGCGUAAAGAGCUCGUAGGCGGUUUGUCGCGUCUGCUGUGAAAACUGGGGGCUCAACCCCCAGCCUGCAGUGGGUACGGGCAGACUAGAGUGCGGUAGGGGAGAUUGGAAUUCCUGGUGUAGCGGUGGAAUGCGCAGAUAUCAGGAGGAACACCGAUGGCGAAGGCAGAUCUCUGGGCCGUAACUGACGCUGAGGAGCGAAAGCAUGGGGAGCGAACAGG
rnacentral:rRNA from 1 species